rnacentral:rRNA from 1 species
ACGGGGCGCAGCAGGCGCGAAACCUUUACACUGCACGCCAGUGCGAUAAGGGGAUCCCGAGUGCACAGGCAUAGAGCCUGUGCUUUUCUGAACCGUAGGGAGGUUCAGGAACAAGAGCUGGGCAAGACCGGUGCCAGCCGCCGCGGUAAUACCGGCAGCUCGAGUGAUGGCCGAUCUUAUUGGGCCUAAAGCGUCCGUAGCUGGCCUUGCAAGUCCGUCGGGAAAUCCACCCGCUCAACGGGUGGGCGUCCGGCGGAAACUGUGAGGCUUGGGACCGGGAGGCUUGAAGGGUACGUCCGGGGUAGGAGUGAAAUCCUGUAAUCCUGGACGGACCGCCGAUGGGGAAACCACUUCAAGAGAACGGAUCCGACAGUGAGGGACGAAAGCUAGGGUCUCGAACCGGAUUAGAUACCCCGGUAGUCC